AAGGCCUUCGGGUUGAAACCUCUUUCAGCAGGGAAGAAGCGAAAGUGACGGUACCUGCAGAAGAAGCACCGGCUAACUACGUGCCAGCAGCCGCGGUAAUACGUAGGGUGCGAGCGUUGUCCGGAAUUAUUGGGCGUAAAGAGCUUGUAGGCGGUUUGUCGCGUCUGCUGUGAAAACUCGAGGCUUAACCUCGAGCUUGCAGUGGGUACGGGCAGACUAGAGUGUGGUAGGGGAGACUGGAAUUCCUGGUGUAGCGGUGAAAUGCGCAGAUAUCAGGAGGAACACCGAUGGCGAAGGCAGGUCUCUGGGCCACUACUGACGCUGAGAAGCGAAAGCAUGGGGAGCGAACAGGAUUAGAUACCCUGGUAGUCCAUGCCGUAAACGUUGGGAACUAGGUGUGGGUCUCAUUCCACGAGAUCCGUGCCGCAGCUAACGCAUUAAGUUCCCCGCCUGGGGAGUACGGCCGCAAGGCUAAAACUCAAAGGAAUUGACGGGGGCCCGCACAAGCGGCGGAGCAUGCUGAUUAAUUCGAUGCAACGCGAAGAACCUUACCAAGGCUUGACAUAUACCGGAAACACUUGGAAACAGGUGCCCCGCAAGGUCGGUAUACAGGUGGUGCAUGGUUGUCGUCAGCUCGUGUCGUGAGAUGUUGGGUUAAGUCCCGCAACGAGCGCAACCCUCGUUCUAUGUUGCCAGCGCGUCAUGGC
rnacentral:rRNA from 1 species